CAAACUCACUUUGAACAUUACGUCAUAUCCGGUUUUAAUAGAACUUUCACAUAGUCCAGUAGCACCUGUCGUUGGAUUCUGAUCACUGACUUUAAAUGCCAUGUAUUAUAUUGAUCAUUCAUAUCAUUCUAGAACAGGUUUUUAAAAAUAUCAGUUGAUAUACACAAAGCUGUUUAUAUUUUCGAGAUAAAUAGUUUGAAGUGGCAGUGUAAAAUAUACUCGUAAAAGACUAAUACAUAUAAUACAUGUACCGAUACAUGUGUCAACUUUAAUAAGUUUAUCUUAAAAACUUGUCGAUGUUACAAAUAAAAGAUUUGUUUCAAUCUG
rnacentral:misc_RNA from 1 species